GCCACAAUCAAGUUUAGUGAGUUUAGAGACUGGAGCUAACUGUCUGGCUUCUCUUUUUAAUCAUGGCUAUCCUGAAGUGCAUUAGCAUUCUGAUGGUGGUUGUGCCCUGCACGCUUUCGUUGCUUGUCUGGGUAAAAUAUCCAUCCGAUCCACCUGGCAACUGCACUUUGCCAGACGGCAAAGUAAUUGAAGUAGGUACCCAUGUCAGUCACGACGACAUGUGUGCCAACUAUUUUUGUUGGAAGCCGGACGGAACUGCCGUGAUUUCAUACUGCCAAAUCCCUGUCCCGUUCCAGGAGUGCAACGAAACGGGCGUAUGGACGUAUGGGCCUUAUCCCGAUUGCUGUUAUCAAUGUUCCCAGUACGUUGAUUGUUGAUUUAAACGUACAAUAAACCUUCAGAAACACUACUUUGCAAAAGAUUUGUAUCAGAACUUUUGUUGAACCAAGUGAACCAAUCUAAUCCAAGAAAUUACCAAAACAACAAUUUGACACCCGUUGCAAGUGCAAAUGGAAAUCACCUAAAGUCACCUGCUUCUAAAGUUUCCUAUUCCAAAUGUAAUAGUUAAGAAUAGUUGGAGACAUCGAUCUGCAAGAUAUGUAUAUACAUACAUUUUUAUUGUAUAAAGUUUGCAUCAGGUUUUUCCCGGGAAUUGCAAAUAUUAGAAAUAUGGGAAAUAUUGGCUAUAAAAGGAAGUGCCAGCUACAGUUCUGUUCAUUGAGUUAGACACUGGAUCUAACUGACUGACGACUGGCUUUGUCUUUGGUCAUGGCUAUACUGAGGUGCAUUUUCAUUCUGAUGGUGGCCGUGUCCUGCACGCUUUCGUUGGUAGCCUGGAAUAAGUAUCCAAACAAUGAUGGUGGAUGCACUUUACCAGACGGCCGUGCAAUUGAUUUUCAGCAAGUUGUCCAUCACACAGCUAUGUGUGGCAACUAUAUAUGCUGGAAUGAGGACGGAACAACCGCCUUAAAUUAUUGCCAAGCCUCCAUCCCGUUCCAGGAGUGCAACGAAACUGGCGUCAACACCAAUCACGUUUUUCCCGAUUGCUGUUGGCAAUGCGUUCAGUACGUUAAAUGUUAGUUAUAAUCGUACAUACAUAUGUAUGUAUAAUAAUCUGUAAUCGUAUACAAAUUUGUUGCUUAAAUAAACCAUCGUAAUAAUUUGC